rnacentral:rRNA from 1 species
GACGAACGCUGGCGGCGUGCUUAACACAUGCAAGUCGAACGGAAAGGCCCUGCUUUUGUGGGGUGCUCGAGUGGCGAACGGGUGAGUAACACGUGAGUAACCUGCCCUUGACUUUGGGAUAACUUCAGGAAACUGGGGCUAAUACCGGAUAGGAGCUCCUGCUGCAUGGUGGGGGUUGGAAAGUUUCGGCGGUUGGGGAUGGACUCGCGGCUUAUCAGCUUGUUGGUGGGGUAGUGGCUUACCAAGGCUUUGACGGGUAGCCGGCCUGAGAGGGUGACCGGCCACAUUGGGACUGAGAUGCGGCCCAGACUCCUACGGGAGGCAGCAGUGGGGAAUAUUGCACAAUGGGCGGAAGCCUGAUGCAGCAACGCCGCGUGCGGGAUGACAGCCUUCGGGUUGUAAACCGCUUUCGCCUGUGACGAAGCGUGAGUGACGGUAAUGGGUAAAGAAGCACCGGCUAACUACGUG